rnacentral:rRNA from 1 species
CCUACGGGAGGCUGCAGUGAGGAAUAUUGGUCAAUGGGCGGAAGCCUGAACCAGCCAAGUAGCGUGCAGGAUGACGGCCCUACGGGUUGUAAACUGCUUUUAUACGGGAAUAACGCGCCUUACGUGUAGGGCUUUGCAUGUACCGUAUGAAUAAGGAUCGGCUAAUUCCGUGCCAGCAGCCGCGGUAAUACGGAAGGUCCGGGCGUUAUCCGGAUUUAUUGGGUUUAAAGGGUGCGUAGGCCGCAUGUCAAGCGUGCUGUGAAAGGGCCGGGCUCAACCCGGGCCUUGCAGCUAGAACUGUCGGGCUUGAGUCCGCGCAAAGCAGGCGGAAUUCGUGGUGUAGCGGUGAAAUGCAUAGAUAUGACGAAGAACCCCGAUUGCGAAGGCAGCUUGCUGCAGCGGAACUGACGCUGAUGCACGAAAGCGCGGGUAUCGAACAGGAUUAGAUACCCUAGUAGUC